CCAAGCCGGCGAUCCGGAGGCUGGCCAGGAGGGGCGGCGUGAAGCGCAUCUCCGGCCUCAUCUACGAGGAGACCCGUGGCGUCCUCAAGAUCUUCCUCGAGAACGUCAUCCGCGACGCCGUCACCUACACCGAGCACGCCCGCCGCAAGACCGUCACCGCCAUGGACGUCGUCUACGCGCUCAAGCGCCAGGGCCGCACCCUCUACGGCUUCGGAGGCUAGAUCCGUCUAGUGGAGCAACUUCCUCGUUUGCUCUGUGUGACAUGUAUCGUGCUAGAUGGGAUUUACUGCUUUGGCGUGCGUCGUUGUGUUCUGUCUUGGGUUCAGUAGGCUGUGUAAUACCUGUUCAAUGCAAUCAGUUCGAUUCUGAAUCCUGACGAAAUGCUUCACUGUUGAAUUGUGAUUUGUUUUCUCUGAGACCGACUGAUUUGAUCUGCUUGGACAGUACAGCUGCAGUGAAUCAGUCUUUUAUUUCUUAACACUCGUUUCUUCCCAGAUUAGAUUGUACUGCUCUACUGAAUCUGGCUUUCAUUUGUUCAAGUAUUUGGCGCUAGCUGCUUCUCAGUUUAGAUCCCAUAUCUGUACUGAAUCAUCCUUCUAUCUGACACUCGUUGCAAUCUGUAGAAGAGAUGGAAUUCGUCCGCUCAGGUCCAGUGUUUUGGUUUGGCAUCACUAUGGAAUGAACUUCGAAUAUUUCUGUUGCUUUCAGUGGUAUGAAUACUCAUAAAUAUGGCUUCUGUUCCUGAACGCUACAUCAAUCCUCUGGAGCUACUGUCAGCGUUGAUAUGGUACUGAGGCUCUUCACUAAACAUAUUUCUUUGUCCUAAUUGUACUGUUCCUUCGAGGAAUGAGCAGUAGAGAUUUUUAUAUUCUUCUCUUCAAAAUCUUGUUCCUCACUGUGAUAUACAGUGCAACCAAGUCAUAGGUUGUAGCGAUAUUGGUCAUUCUAUAGAGCAGGAAUUGUGUGACUCGGUUCCUUAGAUCUUCACUGAUCAAGCUACACAAAUGCAGUAGGUGAUAAACUUUUUUAUGUAUGUAUUUCAUGUCACCUAGAGAAGGCAAUAAAACAUGUCAUGCAAUGGAUUAUCUCUGGGUUUUCGUUAUCGAGAGUAGCGUUACGAAGCUUGGGUGCAUCUGCACCUGCGUGUACAGUAAAUUAAAAAAAAUCAACCAAACUUUAAAAAGUCUGAAGUUUAUACACAUGAAAGAUAAGAGAUUUUUCUAGGUGUUUGCAAAUUUUGGCGUUGAGACGACAUCCGUGGAACUCAAUUCAAUUUUUUUUAAGCUCCAUAAAUGUCCAAAGCUGCAAAAAAAUUCAAGCUCCAAUUUUGCCUUUUCUUUGUAGCGAGAUUCUCGUGUGCCAUGUCAGCAUAAAAAUUUGCAAGCACCUAAAAGAGUCUUUCAUCUUAGAUGUGUAAUUUUUUCAAAUUGGUUUAGUAUUUACUUGUUUUUACUGUUCAUUCUGGAGCAUUAUCCAUCUCACAAUGCAUUUUUAUUUGUUGGUCUUUUGGACCGCUGUCAAGCCGUGCUAUGAGAUAUUCUAUGUCAGAACAAUGAAGCAUACAUUGUUAUGGUACAUGGAGCGUUGGACUUAUUUAACUCACCGUAAACUGUAAGAAACCCUUCAUAUUGCAAAUAAAUAAGAUAUCAGUUGGGUGCUCACUUAUUACUUGGUACGCUUUACCUCACAUCAUAUGGCCAUAUCUCCGUAUUUUAUUUUUGUCAGUGGUACACGAAUUUCUACAUUUGAGUACAGGCAAAUACAUGUCUCUUUUGAAGUCACUACAAGCCAACUAGUAUAAUAGAAUUGUUACAAUGGUUUUACAAAGCUUAAUUGGAUAUUGAGGACAUUAAUGCCAUCAUGGUGCUAAGUCUUUUGUAAGUUUGCACCAAAUUAUAUCCGUUCAACGCAAAUAUAAGUAUUCCAUUGGAUCUUUAAUUGCCAUCUUCAUUUUUCAUUAAAUCACACAUUUCCUUGAAGCUACUUGUAGUAGGCAAAAAAUUCCACAGAGCGCGUGGGGUAUCCUCUAGUAGUAGUGAACACCCCCAAAAUCGGAGAAAUUACCAAACCUAUGCGGUUUGGUUUAUGUAGUUAUUGUUGAUGCUGCAAAUAUAUUUGAAAUUUCCGUGAGAAUUUGAAUAACAUAUUGCAAAAAAAAGAGAAUAUCAUUUGUUCAUAUUAUAUCUGUGCAUAUGAGAGGUAAAUCCCAAUACUUAUACAUAAGACAAGAGAUGGACCGAAUAUAUUAGUAUAUUCCAUCUCUCCAACCAAAUACUAACUUGUACUUCUUUCGUUUCAAAUUAUAAGAUGUUCUAACUUUUAUUUUGAAUCGGAUAUAUAUAGACACAUUUUAGUGUGUUUGUUCACUAAUUUUCGUCCGUAUGUACUCCAUAUUGAAAUAUCCAAAACGUCUUAUAAGUCAAAGGAAACGGAGGUGAUACUAAUCAUUUGUUUAAUCUAAUUUGUCCCAGCCAAACAUAUGAAUAGAACCAAGGUCCCCAUCUUCCCCAUGCGUUGGGCGCACCUCUUAUUCCCGUCUCCAACUCGAGACAAACGCCCACUUAUUAAAUCCGGCGCCACGUCAUCGACCUGGAAGCGGCGGGGAAGGGGGCGGCGACGGGGUUGGACGUGUCGGCCAUGGCGGGAGGGCAGGAGGAUUUUGGGGAGAAAUGAUGGGAAUGGAGAUGGUGUGCCACAGAUGAGCGAGCCUGGGGAGGACGUUGCCGGCGUCCGCUGUGUGUCCAUGCAGACGCAAACCUGACACAAUUUGGGCUGAAAAUGGGUCCAAGCGGACGAGAAAACCGACAUUUAUCUGUUUUUGUCGGCGCGUUGGGCCAUGUUUUUUGUGCCCGCGGAUCCAAAUAGAUCCGGACGGACGAAAUGGGUCGACGCGUUGGAGUUGACCGGAGUUCUUGGCUUGUCAAAGUUUCCUCCUUGUUUCUCCCUUUCUAAUGAAUGAUUUUUUCUCGUGUAAUAUCAUGGACCACCCUUUUAUAGUUCUUCUAACUGUUCUGUUAGAGAUAAUUUAGAGCAUUGAUGAAAAAGAAAAGGCGAAUCCAUGGUGUGCUUAGUGUGGUUAACAUGGAGAUUAGGAAACGAUGUGAAUUAUUUGUAUGAUAUCAUAUACUAUGUAGUGUCAAAAAACAUCUUACAUUAUAGGACGGAGGGAGUAUUUGUUAUACUUGUAAGCGCACUUAUAAAUUGUUGAUUCUGCAAACACAAUUGAUAUGUCAUUCAGAAUUCUAAUAACAUACUGCGAAAACUAAAAAAAAAUCACAAAUAUUCUUAUUGUUUAUGUGCAUAUGAGAGGUAAUCUCACCACUUCCACAUAAGACGAGAGAUGGAUCAAAUCUAUUUUCCAUUCUAUUUCUCCAGCCAAGCACUAACUUGCAACCAUUGUAUUUACCCAAUUUGCCCCAACCAAACAUAUGAAUGUAACCAAAUAUGAGUGAAACAGACUGUAAAAAUAGAAAAACUCUGACUAAAACAGAAACCAUGAAACAAACGCCCAAAAUCCCACAAACGGCGCCACGUCAUCAAUCCGGGCCAGCACCCUCCCACCUCAUCCCACCCUUCUGAUCUCAAUCCCAACGUCGCAUCUCCACCGUCUCGCGGAUCGACCCAACAAAGCACCUCCCGGCUCCCGCCCCCAGGGAAAAUAUCUAGUGCUACCAAGCCUUAGAUGCUACCAUGAUACGGGCUUUUGGACCGUCGGAUUUUCAGAUCAGGCGGCUCUCAAUAACUUUGCCACACUUGCAAAAAAGCCUCCGUGAAGUUCAAAAAUUAUGCAUAAGUCCAGCAGAUCCAACAUCUCCCGGAUGCCGUCCGAUCUAAGAAUCCGACAGCCCAGAUGUCCGUAUCACGGUAACAUUUAAUCAUCGGGAGCACUGGAUACUCUCCCCCCGCCCCCAAAGUCCCCCAAAUCUUGCAGUUCCCUCCUAAAUCCUCCCCAUAUAAACCAACCCCCCGCCCUCAGAUCCCCAAUCCCAUCGCAAGCAUCAGACUCCUCCAAAGCAGGCAGCAGCUCCUCUUCUUCCUAAUCACACUAUCUCGGAGAGGAGCGGCCAUGUCUGGGCGCGGCAAGGGCGGCAAGGGGCUGGGAAAGGGCGGCGCCAAGCGGCAGUCCUCCGCGACAACAUCCAGGGCAUCACCAAGCCGGCGAUCCGGAGGCUGGCGAGGAGGGGCGGCGUGAAGCGCAUCUCCGGCCUCAUCUACGAGGAGACCCGCGGCGUCCUCAAGAUCUUCCUCGAGAACGUCAUCCGCGACGCCGUCACCUACACCGAGCACGCCCGCCGCAAGACCGUCACCGCCAUGGACGUCGUCUACGCCCUCAAGCGCCAGGGCCGCACCCUCUACGGCUUCGGAGGCUAGAUGCGUGGUGUGCUGUGCUGGUGGCUGUCGUGUUUCUCUGUGUGAUAUGUGCCGUGGUGGAUGGGAUGUACUCCCUGUCGUGCGUUUGUGUUCAGUAGUCUGUAAUAUCAUUAUGCGUUCAAUGAAAAUACUCCGAUCCUGAGUUCUGACGAAAUGCUUCAGUGAUGAAAUCGUUUUUAUAAGACAUACUGAUUUGAUCCGUUCAUUUUUUCUUUAGAUUGUAUAGCUGUGCCUGUGCAGCUAGAAUUUCACACAGUUGCAAUCUGAUCAGUCUUUUGUCACGCAUUGCAAUCUGGACGAGUGCUUCCGCUCAGUUACCUACAGUACUACAGUUGCCACGUUUAAUUUGGGUUCAGUGGGAAUGAAUCCUGUUUCUUUUCUGCAGUAUUGUAAGGUAGUGCACAAGGAUCGGGGUUCAGGAUCUAAAGAUGUUGUAGUCCUGUAAAUAUUUCUGAAUCAAGCCAUGCGACACUUAUAAGUCUGUAGAAUGCAGAACAAAUAUCUGAUGCUCUGCAGUCUGCACUAAGCAUAGUUUUUCUUCCUAAUAAUCAUCUCAUUCCUCAGAGGAAUGUAUUUGUAGAGAUUAUGUUCUUUUCCUAAUGGCCUUGUGCCUGAUAAGGAUAAACAGGAUGAUUCCCUUUUCUCUUAUUGAGAAAUUGUAAGUCGCUGUCACUAAUCCUCUAGAGCAGGAAAUUAC
rnacentral:lncRNA from 1 species